AUGCCUGCCCUCUACACAUUACUCCUACUUCUCCUCGUCUCCUCCUUCCACGCUCCUCCAUGUUCCUCUACAACUUCACAUGAUACUCUCACGGCAGGCCAAACGCUUGCCGUCGGCGACAAGCUUGUCUCAAGCAACGGCAAGUUCGCGCUCGGCUUCUUCCAGCCUGCAGCACGCACCACCAUCAGUAAGUCCGACACCACCACCUCCCCUAACUGGUACCUUGGCAUAUGGUUCGAUAAGAUUCCGGUUUUCACUACUGUCUGGGUUGGUAAUAGAGAGAAGCCAAUACCCGGCCCCGAGCUCCACCUAACACACCUCAAAAUCUCUAGCGAUGGCAAUCUUGCCAUCGUGAACCAUGCCGGUACCGAGUCUGUACUCUGGUCCACUCACAUCAUCAAUAGAACACAAACCAACAUAAACACCAGUAGUACCGCCGUUCUCUUGAACAGCGGAAACCUUGUCCUCACAGAAGGCCCAUCAUCUGGUCUGCCGUUGUGGCAGAGUUUCGACUACCCAACAGAUGUUCUGCUUCCUGGUGCCAAGGGAGGCCGGAACAAGAUCACCGGUUUGAGUAGAUUGGGCAUCUCUAAGAAGAGCCUGAUUGAUCCAGGUCUCGGCUCAUACACCCUUGAAGUAGCCACCAGUGGGAUCAUCAUGAAGCGCCGAAAUCCCUCAGUAGUGUACUGGAAUUGGGAAUAUGGAACAUCACAAAUGUCCAAACUUUUACCAGUAAUUAUGAUGGUUCUAAAUUCCGAUUCACGGACCAAAGGUUUGAUUAACGUAACAUACGUUGAUAGCAACGAAGAGGAGUACUACAUGUACACUUCACCUGAAGAAUCAUCUUCCACAUUAUCACUAGACAUCUCUGGCCAGAUCAAGCUGAAUAUAUGGUCGGAAGCCGAACAGUCUUGGCAAACCGUACAAUCCAAACCUAUUGAUCCCUGCACUCCUACGGCUACCUGCGGACCUUUCACGGUCUGCAAUGGCACUGCACGUGGUAACGCACGUCCAUUCUGUGAUUGUAUGGAGAGCUUCUCUCAGAAGUCACCAACGAAUUGGUACCUUGAUGAUCGGACAGGAGGAUGCAUCAGAAAUACACCAUUACAUUGCCCUAGCAACAAGACAAGUUCAACAGACAUGUUCCACCCUAUUGCUCAUGUUACAUUGCCCUACAAUCCAAAAAGCAUACAAAAUAUUACCACUCAGAGAAAAUGUGAAGAAGCUUGUCGAGGUUCUUGCUCCUGCACUGCUUAUUCCUAUAACAAUAACAUGUGCUCUGUCUGGCAUGGGGAAUUGCUUAGCGUAAAUCUGAAUGAUGGCAUUGAAAUUUUUGCUGAAGAUGUUAUUUACCUUCGCCUUGCGGCCAAUGACUUUCCAAGUCUGAGCAAAAACAAAAGAAAACUAAGCGUUGGAGUUGUUAUUGCUGCAAGCAUUAUUAGCUUUGCUUUAAUAAUGCUCGUGAUGUUGUUAGUGGUUCAGAGGAACAAAUUCAAGUGGUGUUGUUCUCCAUUAUACGAUAACCAAGGUUGUGGUGGGAUUAUUGCCUUUAGAUACACCGAUUUAGUUCAUGCUACAAAGAACUUCUCUGAAAAGCUGGGAGGAGGUGGUUUUGGCUCUGUUUAUAAGGGAGUGUUAAGUGGAUCGACUCCGAUAGCGGUGAAAAGGCUUGAUGGUGCUCGCCAGGGAGAGAAGCAAUUUAGGGCUGAGGUGAGCUCACUUGGACUGAUCCAACAUAUCAAUCUAGUCAAAUUGAUUGGUUUCUGCUGUGAAGGACAUAAUAGGUUGCUUGUCUAUGAACAUAUGCUAAAUGGCUCUCUUGAUGGUCAUCUAUUUAAGAGCAAUUUUGGUGUGUUAAGUUGGAGUACCAGGUAUCAAAUAGCCCUAGGAGUUGCUAGAGGAUUGUUCUACUUGCAUCAGAGUUGCCACAAGUGCAUCAUACACUGUGAUAUUAAGCCAGAAAACAUACUCCUCGAUGCAUCAUUUGCUCCUAAAGUUGCGGACUUUGGGUUGGCAACGUUUUUGGGAAGAAAUUUUAGUCGAAUUCUGACUACAUUCAGGGGAACUGUAGGUUAUCUUGCCCCAGAGUGGCUUAGUGGAGUUGCUGUUACACCAAAAAUUGAUGUUUAUAGCUUUGGCAUGGUAUUGUUGGAAAUCGUGUCGGGAAGGAGAAAUUCAGGUGAAGAAUACACUAGCAAAAGUUAUCGUGUUGAAUAUUUCCCUGUACAAGUCGUCAACAAGCUUCACGAAGGGGAUGUGGGGAGUUUGGUGGAUCCACAGUUACAUGGUGACUUCAAUACGGUACAAGUUGAAAGGGUCUGCAAAGUUGCAUGUUGGUGCAUUCAAGAUAAUGAGUUUGAUCGGCCGGCGAUGGAUGAAGUGGUACGUGUUCUUGAGGGUCUACAGGAGAUUGAUAUGCCCCCAAUGCCAAGACUACUUGCAGCUAUAACAGAACACUCUGAUACAACUUCAAUGUAA
rnacentral:rRNA from 1 species